ACUUUGAUCCUGGCUCAGGAUGAACGCUAGCUACAGGCUUAACACAUGCAAGUCGAGGGGAAACGAUAUUGGAAGCUUGCUUCCGAUAGGCGUCGACCGGCGCACGGGUGAGUAACGCGUAUCCAACCUGCCCAUCACUUGGGGAUAACCUUGCGAAAGUAAGACUAAUGCCCAAUGACAUUUAUAGAAGGCAUCUGAAAUGAAUUAAAGAUUUAUCGGUGAUGGAUGAGGAUGCGUCUGAUUAGCUUGUUGGCGGGGUAACGGCCCACCAAGGCGGCGAUCAGUAGGGGUUCUGAGAGGAAGGUCCCCCACAUUGGAACUGAGACACGGUCCAAACUCCUACGGGAGGCAGCAGUGAGGAAUAUUGGUCAAUGGACGAGGGUCUGAACCAGCCAAGUAGCGUGCA
rnacentral:rRNA from 1 species